UACGUAGGGUGCAAGCGUUAAUCGGAAUUACUGGGCGUAAAGCGUGCGCAGGCGGUUAUGUAAGACAGGUGUGAAAUCCCCGGGCUUAACCUGGGAACUGCAUUUGUGACUGCAUAGCUAGAGUACGGUAGAGGGGGAUGGAAUUCCGCGUGUAGGCAGUGAAAUGCGUAGAUAUGCGGAGGAACACCGAUGGCGAAGGCAAUCCCCUGGACCUGUACUGACGCUCAUGCACGAAAGCGUGGGAGCAAACAGG
rnacentral:rRNA from 1 species